GAUGAACGCUGGCGGCGUGCCUAAUACAUGCAAGUCGAGCGAACAGACGAGGAGCUUGCUCCUCUGACGUUAGCGGCGGACGGGUGAGUAACACGUGGAUAACCUACCUAUAAGACUGGGAUAACUUCGGGAAACCGGAGCUAAUACCGGAUAAUAUAUUGAACCGCAUGGUUCAAUAGUGAAAGACGGUUUUGCUGUCACUUAUAGAUGGAUCCGCGCUGCAUUAGCUAGUUGGUAAGGUAACGGCUUACCAAGGCGACGAUGCGUAGCCGACCUGAGAGGGUGAUCGGCCACACUGGAACUGAGACACGGUCCAGACUCCUACGGGAGGCAGCAGUAGGGAAUCUUCCGCACUGGGAGAAAGCUUGACGGAACAACGCCGCGUGAGUGAUGAAGGUCUUCGGAUCGUAAAACUCUGUUAUUAGGGAAGAACAAAUGUGUAAGUAACUAUGCACAUCUUGACGGUACCUAAUCAGAAAGCCACGGCUAACUACGUG
rnacentral:rRNA from 1 species